GAGUUUGAUCCUGGCUCAGAGCGAACGCUGGCGGCACGCCUAACACAUGCAAGUCGAGCGAGAAAGUGACUUCGGUUGCGAGUAAAGCGGCGAACGGGUGAGUACAACGUGGAUAAUCUACCCUGAGGUUCGGGACAACCCCGAGAAAUCGGGGCUAAUACCGGAUAAGACCACAGUAUCCAAGGAUACAGCGGUAAAAGAUUUAUCGCCUCUGGAUGAGUCCACGCCCCAUCAGGUAGUUGGUAAGGUAAAGGCUUACCAAGCCUAAGACGGGUAGCCGGCCUUAGCGGGUGAACGGCCACAUGGGGACUGAGACACGGCCCUGACUCCUACGGGAGGCAGCAGUGGGGAAUAUUGGGCAAUGGGCGAAAGCCUGACCCAGCGAUGCCGCGUGAGGGAUGAAGGCCUUCGGGUUGUAAACCUCUGUCAGGAGGGACGAUGGGACUUUGUCUUGACGGUACCUCCAGAGGAAGCCCCGGCUAACUCCGUGCCAGCAGCCGCGGUAAUACGGAGGGGGCAAGCGUUGCUCGGAAUUACUGGGCGUAAAGGGUGCGCAGGCGGCGAUACAAGUCUGGCGUGAAAGCUUCUGGCUUAACUGGGAGAGGACGUUGGAAACUGUAUGGCUAGAGUGAAUGAGAGGGGGGCGGAAAUCCCGGUGUAGUGGUGGAAUGCGUAGAUAUCGGGAAGAACACCAGAGGCGAAGGCGGCCUCCUGGCAUUUUACUGACGCUGAGGCACGAAAGCGUGGGUAGCGAACGGGAUUAGAUACCCUGGUAGUC
rnacentral:rRNA from 1 species